AUUGAACGCUGGCGGCAUGCCUUACACAUGCAAGUCGAACGGCAGCACGGGAGCAAUCCUGGUGGCGAGUGGCGAACGGGUGAGUAAUAUAUCGGAACGUGCCCAGUCGUGGGGAUAACGUAGCGAAAGCUACGCUAAUACCGCAUACGAUCUAUGGAUGAAAGCGGGGGAUCGCAAGACCUCGCGCGAUUGGAGCGGCCGAUAUCAGAUUAGGUAGUUGGUGAGGUAAAGGCUCACCAAGCCGACGAUCUGUAGCUGGUCUGAGAGGACGACCAGCCACACUGGGACUGAGACACGGCCCAGACUCCUACGGGAGGCAGCAGUGGGGAA
rnacentral:rRNA from 1 species